rnacentral:rRNA from 1 species
UACGGAGGGUGCAAGCGUUAUCCGGAUUCACUGGGUUUAAAGGGUGCGUAGGUGGGCAGGUAAGUCAGUGGUGAAAUCUCCGGGCUUAACCCGGAAACUGCCGUUGAUACUAUUUGUCUUGAAUAUAGUGGAGGUGAGCGGAAUAUGUCAUGUAGCGGUGAAAUGCUUAGAUAUGACAUAGAACACCAAUUGCGAAAGGCAGCUUAGUCUA